AGUCGAGCGAACGGACGAGAAGCUUGCUUCUCUGAUGUUAGCGGCGGACGGGUGAGUAACACGUGGAUAACCUACCUAUAAGACUGGGAUAACUUCGGGAAACCGGAGCUAAUACCGGAUGAUAUUUUGAACCGCAUGGUUCAAAAGUGAAAGACGGUCUUGCUGUCACUUAUAGAUGGAUCCGCGCUGCAUUAGCUAGUUGGUAAGGUAACGGCUUACCAAGGCAACGAUGCAUAGCCGACCUGAGAGGGUGAUCGGCCACACUGGAACUGAGACACGGUCCAGACUCCUACGGGAGGCAGCAGUAGGGAAUCUUCCGCAAUGGGCGAAAGCCUGACGGAGCAACGCCGCGUGAGUGAUGAAGGUCUUCGGAUCGUAAAACUCUGUUAUUAGGGAAGAACAUAUGUGUAAGUAACUGUGCACAUCUUGACGGUACCUAAUCAGAAAGCCACGGCUAACUACGUGCCAGCAGCCGCGGUAAUACGUAGGUGGCAAGCGUUAUCCGGAAUUAUUGGGCGUAAAGCGCGCGUAGGCGGUUUUUUAAGUCUGAUGUGAAAGCCCACGGCUCAACCGUGGAGGGUCAUUGGAAACUGGAAAACUUGAGUGCAGAAGAGGAAAGUGGAAUUCCAUGUGUAGCGGUGAAAUGCGCAGAGAUAUGGAGGAACACCAGUGGCGAAGGCGAC
rnacentral:rRNA from 1 species